UAGGGCUUUUGGGCCAUGAGUCCGGACAGAUCAAAUCCUCGCUUGGGCCGCUCUCCAUCUUUGCCACCGCUCAAAAUCUCCCUCUCUUCUUAGAGAGUACUCCUUUAAUUUCAAAAUGUCACGCGUAUAACAUCUGUUUAUUAAACAUCAUAAAGUUUGACCAGCUUUAUAAAAAAAAAAUCAACAUCUUCGGUUCGAAAUCAAAAGAGCAUUACAAUAUUCAAUAUUGUGAGAUAUAUUUUGUGAUGUCUCAAUUUGACAAUACAUAUAUAUGUCGGUUUCUUUUGCUAAAAACUUGGCUAAACUUUCCGUCAACACAAAUUAUGCGCGUUUUAUUUUGGAUCGGAGGGCGCAAGUGUCAUCUCGCUCAAAAAAGAAAAAGGAAAAGAUAUAGUGGUACUAUAUGCAUGAAAAAAACACACAAUAUAUUCAACCAUGCACUGAUCAAUCAUUCAAUCUACCUGUCGCGAUCGACCCCUAGCUAGCUAGCUACACUAAUUACUACUAAUAUACAGUGGUAUGUAAGGUGAUUCAGUAAGUUAGUCAAUAAAUUGGAGGCAGGUGGCUAGCUAGCUAUAGAUGGAUGAUAUGAUCGAUCUCUAUGGC
rnacentral:lncRNA from 1 species